rnacentral:misc_RNA from 1 species
AAGUCGUAACAAGGUCUCCGUUGGUGAACCAGCGGAGGGAUCAUUACAGAGUGUAAAAACUCCCAACCCAUGUGAACAUACCUAUCGUUGCCUCGGCAGGUCGCCCGCCCUACCCUGUAGGACCGGGUGCUCCCUGCCGAUGGCCCGCGAAACUCGUUUUAUUUUGGAACUCUGAAUAAUCAUACAAUAAGUUAAAACUUUCAACAACGGAUCUCUUGGUUCUG